ACCAGCCCUCUCGGUCGGCAGGCUGUCCGAAGCCCACCUAGAUGGCGCCGGUUAGAGUGAGCGGCUCAUGCGGCCUGCACCAAUUUGAAGCCCCUUCAAGUCAUUCAAUCCCGUUUUUGCAGGAUAGCCGUCGGAGCACCAUGGUUCCUAAGGAAUGUGUAUCUUCAUGAUCUUGUGGAUCAUGUGGAGCUUGACUCAGUCAGCUUUAAGUAUGUGCCCUCGAGCCGACGAGCCGACGAGCCGGUCCACGAGCUGUCAGCGUCUGUGAAGUGCGAACAGGUCCAUCGCGAGCACACUCUUGUCCACACAGACUAAAAGCCGCGACCAGCCGACCGAAAAACUCGCGGGACAUGCUCCAGCACCACGACUUUGUGAUUUAGUCUAUUAUAAAAAACAUAAUGAUAUAAUAGAACAAACAGAGUACUGAUAGUAUUUAAAAAGCGAGUCAUAUAAGAACCAAACUAAAAGUUAACAUACAACGAAAUAAAAUGAGAUAGAUUAAUAACGUAUUAAAAA